AUACGUAGGGUGCGAGCGUUGUCCGGAAUUACUGGGCGUAAAGAGCUCGUAGGUGGUUUGUCGCGUCGUCUGUGAAAUUCCGGGGCUUAACUCCGGGCGUGCAGGCGAUACGGGCAUAACUUGAGUACUGUAGGGGAGACUGGAAUUCCUGGUGUAGCGGUGAAAUGCGCAGAUAUCAGGAGGAACACCGGUGGCGAAGGCGGGUCUCUGGGCAGUAACUGACGCUGAGGAGCGAAAGCAUGGGUAGCGAACAGGAUUAGAUACCCUGGUAGUCCAUGCCGUAAACGGUGGGCGCUAGGUGUAGGGGUCUUCCACGACUUCUGUGCCGUAGCUAACGCAUUAAGCGCCUCGCCUGGGGAGUACGGCCGCAAGGCUAAAACUCAAAGGAAUUGACGGGG
rnacentral:rRNA from 1 species